AAUGUUUUUAUUACCUUAGAAUGAGACAUUUAUAUCUACAUAACCGCGGGCACCCCCUUCUAUGAAGGUCGACAUAUUGUGACGUCAUGUUUCUACAGUAGCCGAACGCGAACAAACAGCGCUACAGACCGCGUUUCGUCACUACCUUGAAAGAGAAGCCGCAGAAACCUAGAAGCUAGCCAUAAACACCGUGAGUAGUGACUUUUCCCUUGUCAGUGGUGUAAAAUAUGUAGUUGGACUGUUUCAUGUAACUUAGUUCUUCUCCCUCGCUGUGUUAUGGCUUUGCUAUGUGGGGAUAAAUGUGCUGGUUACGUUCGUGAGACAGCUGAUUAGUACUCUUGUCAUUGACCGUAAAACAGUAUGUUACAGGAAUCACCAACCCGUCGAUCGCGGUCGACAAGUCGAUCUUGGAAGCAUUUUAAGUCGAUCGCGAAGAGUUUUCAAAAUCAGAGAAAAAAGCCUAUUGUGUGUAGUAAAUGGUGUCUAGGGGAUGGUUAGACCACUAGGAGGCGCCUUCUGGCCCAUAUAUUUCUGUGUCUCAUAUUGACGCUAAAGGGUGCCAUGUGCGUUGGAUGUAUACGCAUUGGCAAAAGCAUCAGUAUAUGACGCCUUGGGAUGAGAACGGGCUGG